rnacentral:rRNA from 1 species
UGGGGAAUAUUGCACAAUGGGCGAAAGCCUGAUGCAGCGACGCCGCGUGGGGGAUGACGGCCUUCGGGUUGUAAACCUCUUUCAGCAAGGAAGAAGCGAAAGUGACGGUACUUGCAGAAGAAGCGCCGGCUAACUACGUGCCAGCAGCCGCGGUAAUACGUAGGGCGCAAGCGUUGUCCGGAAUUAUUGGGCGUAAAGGGCUUGUAGGUGGCUUGUCGCGUCUGCCGUGAAAACUCGAGGCUUAACCUUGGGCGUGCGGUGGGUACGGGCAGGCUAGAGUGCGGUAGGGGAGACUGGAAUUCCUGGUGUAGCGGUGAAAUGCGCAGAUAUCAGGAGGAACACCGAUGGCGAAGGCAGGUCUCUGGGCCGUUACUGACACUGAGAAGCGAAAGCAGGGGGAGCGAACAGG